ACUCCUACGGGAGGCAGCAGUGGGGAAUAUUGCACAAUGGGCGCAAGCCUGAUGCAGCCAUGCCGCGUGUAUGAAGAAGGCUUCGGGUUNUAAAGUAACUUUCAGCAGUGAGGGAAGGUGGGUAUGUUAAUAGCAUACUCAUUUGACGUUAGCUGCAGAAGAACACCGGCUAACUCCGUGCCAGCAGCCGCGGUAAUACGGAGGGUGCGAGCGUUAAUCGGAAUUACUGGGCGUAAAGCGCAUGUCA
rnacentral:rRNA from 1 species